rnacentral:lncRNA from 1 species
AAGGAAAUGCUCUAUGUGCUGACUCUCUUUCACAGUUCUGGAAGGCACUGUGCAGGCUUCUGGGAGAGGUUUACCCAGCACAGGACCAGGCAAACAUGUGCUCACUGGAGAAGUGUUGCUCUGACAGUUAUUGCAAUAACCAACCAUUUUCUGAUUGGAUUUGAGGCCUGCUCCACAGGAAGGACUUCAUGCCUGGGGCUGUGAAUCUGAUCCUCCUGGAAGGAAAAAGAGACGUGUCGACAUUCCUUCUCCUUGCUGCGAUUAACAUCAGAUGUCUGACCACAAGGAAGCUGAACGAACUCAGGAGCUGCUUCAGGACCUGUGAGAUGGCUUGGCAGGUAUAAACUGCUUCCUUGUGCAUCUACCUGAUUAUUGGUCAAGGCACAUACAAAGGCAUGAGAGAAGGCAUUGGUCUUCAGCCACUGCUGAGAAAUGGCAGAACUGGCAAGAUUGUCCAACUGUGACCUGCCCUCUUGACUUCAAACUGCCUUCCCCGGCUGGUCUUAGUGUUUAUUCUCCCUCACAGAGCUGACUUCUGGCAGACUUUUCUUUUUGAGUUGCUGGUGUUUUGUGGUCAGUAAAUCAGCAUAAUUUUAGCGACAGCAGAAAGGGAGGCAAAGUUGUGCAAUUCUUUUAUUAUUCUUAAUCUCUCCCCCAAGAGAAAUAAAUCUGGAAAAGGAAUAGGGAGGCUCAAUGGGAAGGGCUGGAGAGAAUGGUGUUUCUGAGAAGACAGAAUUAUAGCAACAGCUGUGCUGGGCGAGAGGAGCUCACUGGAGCCCGCCAUGAACUGCUCACCGCUCCUUACUUACAUCUCCCCUCCUUCCCUGCUCUUCUGCACCCACACCCACACUACUUCAGGUGGCUUAUAAAGUUGAAGCAAUCCAUUUGGAGGUCUGGGGCCAUGUUUGAUCAUAUUGCCUCAGAGGAGAGCCCAUUGACAUAGAGCCAGACUACCUGGGCAGACUGAGAGCUUCCUGGCAUGUGUUUGGGUGAAGAAUUAGUGAUGUGUAGCUCUUCAAAAUUGAUUCACUAAUUCAAAUGUCAAAUAAGCCAGGGUACACACCCUGGCUCAGAUACAAACUUGCCAAGGUUUCCUUUGGACCUAUGGCUCCUUCAGAACGGCAUCAUCUUGUGGUAAGCAUUCCUUCCUUGUAAGCAGGCAUCUGGUACAAUAACACCAACUGUAAAGUCGACCCCACAUACUACAGUUCCAGAGCUGCCUCAAGUGCUUUACAAAGAGCAAUGUGCUAAACACUCCCAAUAAGCCCAAGAAAUGUGCUCAUCACAGGAAGGUGAGAACAAGCUGAGGAAGGGUUGGUGUCCCAUUCUCAACACUAAAUAUUUGGAGAGCUGGGAUUCCUACUGGCAUUGCAUUGCUGGACUCUACAGUCUAGGCCUUUGUCUUCCCCAACUCAUCAGUGUGUAGCAGAAAGUAAUAAGCAAGCUAACACACACAAGGAAAGCCUGAGUCGGUUAAUGUAGUGGAUAUCUUAAAAGUAGAAUCAGAAAAAUGUUUUACUAUAAUCAGGCAUUGUGUUUUGUACCUUUCCCACCUGAAUCAGAAAUGCACACAUAAUGUUGGGGUGCUAAGAGGCCUUAAGCAGGGAAUUCAAACCAUGAUUUCACUCUGUGUCCAGGACUCUGUCUACUCUGCUGGCUGUCUUUUCCACAGUCCUUUUUGAAGAGGAUGACCUGGAAGCUCUACACCCUUUGGUCUUCCCAUGGUGGACCAGAAACUAUUUGGGGUUCUCAGAGUUCACUGACCAAACCCUCAUUGUAAUGUGCCUUGGCUAACAAAGGAUUAAGACAGACAGAGGCCCUGGGUUCCCAUGGGGCCCACAGUGGUAUCCAUUAGCCCUCAUGUGGUCUUGUCUAAGCCCCUCCCAAAAGCUUGUCUCAAAU